ACCUGAUAUCCACGUUGAUUCCACGUGGUUUUAGGCACGUGGAAAACCUGUUCUAAAUUAAUGUGGAAUCCACAUGGAGUUUUAGUUCUACAUUAUUCUUCGUGCAUUUCCACGUGGAUAUCACGUGGAAAAUAAUUUCGUACCACCUAUUGAUGGUUGCUUGAUCUAAUUUUGAAUGCAUAUUUUGUAUGUUUUUACAUAAAUGUGACAAUCAUUAAUUAACAUUAAACACACUCUAAAAUAAAAUGACGCAUAUGACGCGUCCAAUGUGUUCUAAAGUUGAACACAUGAGCCAAAAUGUGUUCUAAAAUGGCAUUUUCAAAAUGUGUUACUGAUCGCCUAAAUGCCACAUCUGACUACAACGUACACUGGAUUUGCAAACUAAAAAGAAGUUUAGAACACCGAUGUGCUAUCAGAGGCGACACAUAGGCGUCGCUGCGCAGAGUGACUUUGCAGCCUAGCGAGUGGUACUGAGCAUGCGCAGUGAUCAGCCUUUCCUGGAUACCGUUUUUUUAAGUGGAAGCGCGAAACAUUUAUAGCUAAUAAAAAGAAAUUAGAAACUUCGAAAUUUGUUUAAAUUUGUGGUCUGCUGAAGUUACAAAGUACCCGUGGCAAUUGUGUUUCAUACAGAGAACAUUUGUGUGUGAUGUUACAGGGUGAGCACUGAGAUUCCUUACCAAUUCACUUAUGUUUCAACUAAACAUGAAGGGAUCACGAGGGGAUAAAACAUCAUUUGACAGCGCUGUGCAAAUUAAUAACUGACAGUGUAGUAAAGGCGCAUGAUGUUACAGAAGCCUUUGCCCUCAGCACCAUUGUCAAUCGGUUACGAAAUGCACCUAAGAGAAAAGAAAGGCUGGAUGCAGUGUCAUUUAUUAAGUGUUAAGUAAAUGUUUUUGUAAUUUUGUUUCUUUUGCUGUUUGAGACAGUUUUCUAUCUUCUCUUAGAUGUUUUGUUGGUUUAAUUAGUCUUUUAGUAUUCACAUUUUUAUGGUAUUUUAGUAUUAUGCACUACACCCAGUUUUUAUGUGCAUUUUGUAUUGUUUGUUUUGAAAUAUGAAUAAAUUAUUGGUUAUUACAACUUUUAUGUAAUUUGUGUCUGCUUUACACUUGAUGUUGUAGACAUUUUAAACUUUGCAGAAUUUACGUUGAACACAACACGUAUUUUCCAUGGGCUUAUAUCCAUGUCUUUUCCAAGUGGUAAAAAACACGUGGAUUCCAUGUGUCAAAUCCACGUGGAAUUGGACUUGCCUUUUACGCCUAAAUUACCUGUC